ensembl:lncRNA
GUUUCAAGUGUGUGUUUUUUUUUGUUUGUUUCAGUCAGUGGGGAAGGGAUCGCUGUGGUGUGUGUGUCUAGAGUAUCGGCAGGCGCUCCUCGAGGUGCUGAGGAAGACCCACAGUUAUCACAGCACCAACAUCAAUCUGUUAAACAAGCCUGCACUGUUGGAAGGAGCAGAGUUUGGGGUGCCUGCAGUGUGCGACUCUAUGGAAAUGUCAGAUCCUCUCACUCACGCCCUCCUUCUCUCCACGUCCUCACCCCAAAUCAUGACUGCCGAUAACCCAACUUUCUCUGAAAACCCACCGUGCCCUUUGACCCCGGAUCACGAGGAGCUUGUCACCAUGGAGUCGGUUGAAUACCAGCAGCAGGGGGAGGUCAGCGAGGAGAUGGAGAAGGACCCCCUGUCAGACAGCGGGUACAUUGAGUUACAUUAUUACCAGUCUCACCAGUAUCAGUACCUGGUGCUGCCGGGUGACACAGAGUUGGACCUGGAGACUGUGGAGAUCCUUCAGCUCGAUGCCGAGGCCCAGGAGGCUGCUGGGUCACUGCUGGACCUAGCAGGCGGUGUAUAUUAAUGAUGAAUCCCAAUUAACAAUCACAACUGAUGCAAUGCCUCAAGCCAUUGUUAUCAGAUGCUCCAACAAUGCAACGUAAAUAGGUUUUUAUGUUUUGAAGUCUUAAUCGAUAAUGGAUGGAGUGAUGAUGUUUGGCAAAUCGGCUGCUUCUUCCUGAGACGUUGACACUGCCCUACGGCUUGUUUUGUAGUAAAAGGUAUGAAUCCACUUUUUGAUGAAUUAACAAGACUAAUGGAUCACAUUACUUCAUAUGUGUUCAGGCAUUUUCAAUGCAGAAGCUGAAUUUACCACCAUACCAUACAAUGAAAACCUGGACAAAGACUUGAGUGUAAUCCUAAACUGAAAACUGCGGACAAAAUGAUACUCUGAGAUUUUAAAGCUGAGGGGAAAGUAUUAAUAGAGUUUGAUCAUUCAUUAUAAUAGGUUUUUAGGUUUUCCACUGUGUUUUUUUCACAUUAAGUUGACUCUUGGGGUGGAAGGAGUUAUUUUAGUUCAAGAAGAAUGACUGUUUCUCGAUUUAGAUGUUACCCCAGUUAGGGUAAGAUUUAUAUAGCGUUGAAACCUGUACAAGAAAAGCACAAAAAAGGCUCUUGACUCACAUCCACACUGUUGCCGUUUCAAUAUGAAUAUUUGUUCUUGUGGUGACCAUCUUUUCUUUACAAGAAUGUUUUCAUAGUGGUUGCUUUAUGAGGAAAGAAACAUUAAAAACAAACUUUAGUCGAAUAUCUUGGCCCUUAACACUGUUACUGUUACCUAUAAUGAAAAUACUGCCUUUCUAAAAGUAGUUGAGUAUAAUACUUACAAAAAAUACUUACUCAAUUACGAUAAUAAAAGUACUUCCAAUUUUAUUUCUAAUUAAUUUCUUUAUACCCCUUGUCAUUCUUCUGAUCAUGUUUGCUAGAGUUUUAUGUACAUGAUGUUAUUUUAUGGACUGCCUUUUAAUUGUCUGUGAAUUGUAAUACCUAUAUAUGAUCCUGUAAACUAAGCUACAUUUUCUUCAAUCAGGAAUAGUUUGAUUGUAAUUUUGAGUUAAAAUGCAAAAUGAGCUCACUGCCAUUUAAACCACUUUACAUUUCAGGGCAUACUGAAUUUCUGUUUGUAAAUUGUAUGUAUUUUCAAAAGCUUUAGAUUAUUCAGUGAAUUAAAAUCGCCUGUUUUUAAUGUUUGUGUCAUUAGGGUUGCAUUGCAGUUUGUUAA